UGAAGCUGCGCGGGAGAGACCCCGCCUCGAGCGGGGCGCCGAAGGAGCAAACUCCCCACAAACUCUCAGGCACCAGUACCGCGCAGUCAGG
rfam:Saccharopolyspora rectivirgula strain DSM 43113 contig00026, whole genome shotgun sequence.